UACGGAGGGUGCAAGCGUUGUUCGGAAUCACUGGGCGUAAAGCGCGCGCAGGCGGGACGUGCAAGUCGGAAGUGAAAUCUCGGGGCUCAACUCCGGGGCUGCUCCCGAUACUGCCGACCUGGAGACUGGUAGAGGUGGGUGGAAUUCCCGGUGUAGCGGUGGAAUGCGUAGAGAUCGGGAAGAACACCUGUGGCGAAGGCGGCCCACUGGGCCAGUUCUGACGCUGAGGCGCGAAAGCGUGGGGAGCAAACAGG
rnacentral:rRNA from 1 species